rnacentral:rRNA from 1 species
CGCGUAGGCGGAGUAUUAAGUUAGAUGUGAAAUCCCUGGGCUUAACCUGGGAAUGGCAUUUAAUACUGAUAAUCUAGAGUAGAGUAGAGGGAAGUGGAAUUUCCGGUGUAGCGGUGAAAUGCGUAGAGAUCGGAAAGAACACCAGUGGCGAAGGCGGCUUCCUGGACUCAUACUGACGCUGAGGCGCGAAAGCGUGGGGAGCAAACAGGAUUAGAUACCCUGGUAGUCCAUGCUGUAAACGAUGAAAACUAGAUGUUGUUAGGUUAAACCUAUCAGUAUCGAAGCUAACGCGAUAAGUUUUCCGCCUGGGGAGUACGGCCGCAAGGUUAAA